CGCGCGGCCCGCUGUCUCACCAGAUCUGGUGCGACAGGCGCGCGCCUGUCGCACCAGUUCUUUGGUGCGACAGGCUUGCAUGUCGCACCAGUUUUGGUGCGACAAGCUUGCCUGUCGCACCAGUUUUCUUCUUGCAUGAAAACCAACCGGCUUCAGGACCUGUAGAAGAUAGACAAGAAACUGAAUUCUUUCAUAUUUUCAAUGUUCUCGCUAUUGCCGUAGCUGUCUAUUUGUUGGUCUUUGACAUCACUGGAAAUCAUGGCCGCGUUCUCUCUUUAUAUUUUGCGGUAGGACUCAUUUUCCUUCUGGCUUUACCAUUGGCUGUUCCUUUAUACGUUGUUCUGUUUAAGUCAAAAUCCAACUCAGACAUUGAGCAACCAAGCAGAGAACCAUUGCUUGCCCCUCAAAAAUCUUCAACAUAGAAGCAAGAAAUAGUAACAGCUAUUGUUAAAGUGGAGGAUGCUGAAAGAAACAGAAAACCAUUAAUAGGGGAGGAGCACACAAUUGUGCAAAUGUUACAAACAUAUGAUUUCUGGAUUCUGUUUGCAUCUUUUCUUUGUGGCGUGGGCACAGGAAUGUGUGUGAUGAACAACAUGGGACAGAUGGGGCUGGCACUUGGCUUCAAUGAUGCAUCCAUGCAUGCUUGGAUUUGGAUUAGACAUUUUGCUUGCUGUUAGAACAAAGAAUAUUUAUUCUAAGAGCAAAGUGGAAAAGAAAUUCAUUAGCGAAACAGAGGAUUCAACUUCAAUAAAAAGCUGAGAAUCAGGAUCUUGUAUAGAAGAGCAUUUUUAAACAAAUACAGCCCUACAAUACAAUCAAUAACCAAAGACACGGAGAGUUGAGUUCUUCUCCUGCUUGUCUUGUCUGUAAUUAUUGCUCCAUUUCGGCACAACUCUUGCUUCUCUUAUAAUGUCUCUUUUCUUUCUGUAAAUCUUACAAACAAUUAUAAUAGUGUUCGUUAGCUCGAUUGAUCCUUUGCCUGCUUGGUGCGACAGGUGCCUGUCGCACCAAGACUUGGGCCUGUCGCACCAAGCUUCUUUUCGUUUGUAAAGAAGGGUAAUUUGGGGAGAAAAGCGUGUGUUUGGCUAAUGUUGAUAGAAAAAAGUUGAAAGAGUUAAUUGUGAAAAUAGUAAAAAUUUUAUGGUUAUUUUCGUAAAUUUCCCAAAUAUCAAACACUUGUUCAAUGCAAAUCUUACUUAACUAACAAAAUCUGCCAAUCACAAUGGUGGAUAGCCACUAAUAUCACAACAAUAACGAGUCCCAUAAAUUUUUACUAGAUAAUGAAAUAAAUAAUAAAAAAAAAGUUAUGACCUCACGUAUUACGAGAUAACCAGUGAAAUUUAAAGAAAAAAAAUACAAUAAAGACGAGCUCCAAGAUCGGACAAAAAAAUAAAAAAAAUAGAUGUUGCCGAUUUCGGUCAAUAAUAUUGGAGAAGAUUUCCCUUCAUCAUUUGUUUUAUCUUAUUUUCCUACCUACUACGUUGUCAGUAAAUAUACAAAAAUAACAGCCACGUCAUGUGAUUCAUUUAUUUAUUUUUAAAGAUUUUGUUUCAUGUAUUUUUUAAUUUAUUAACGACGAAUAACUUUUACUCAAAAUUAAUUUAAUUCUGACCUUGACUCAGCCUCAUAAUCUUCUUUUUUUUAUUGUGAGAAGCUCAUGAACAGUAACGUGGCAAAGUGGCGGAAGUGUAGAGCUUGUUUUCUAAUUUAUACAGAGCCUUUUUUUUUUUUUUUGGAGGGGGGGGGGGGGGGGGGGGGGUGGGGGUGUGUGGUGCCAUAUAAUCACACUUGCCCUCUGGAUUUACUGCAACAUAUGCCAAGGUUAAUUUCUGGACUCGUAUUUUUCAUUAAUAUAAUUUUCUAAAUUUUCAUCAAUUGUUUAAUGAAAAAUGAUCAUUGCACCACCUUUAUUUUACUUUAUGUUCAUCCAACAUUAUAUGACGCAGAUAAUUUUUUUUAUCCAACCAAUGCACAAGAUAUAUGACUCAAUUCUUGUCUAAUUCCUUUUUUAAAAAAAAAAAUUAAUAUCUCAUUCAAAUUGGAAGGCGAGAUUUUAUUAAAAAAAUUGGAAGGCAAGUUGAAUAAUAUAUAGUUGCAAUGAUGGAUUUAUUUCUUUAUUAAAUGUAGGGGUAUUUUUAUAAUUAUAAUUUUUUAUUUUCAAAACUUUUACAAGAUAAAAUAAUAUUUUAAUUUAUUUAUGGGUAAAAUUAUUAUUUUGUUUAAAUUAUUUAAUGGUGUUAGUGUAAAAGUGGCUAAUUGAUAUAAAUUUCAAAAGAAAUAUAGUGUAGAGAACAUAUUAGAAUUUUAUGAUGGUUGGAUGAACAUAAGGUAGAAGAAAGGUGGUCCAAUGAUAAUUUUCCAAAUUUAAAAUGUAAACAAUGCCAGACGAAACCUUAUUGCCUCAAAGACAAGGUCUUUAUUAUAAUAUAUUUUAAUGAAUCAAACUACCAAGUUUCAUGUGCCAAAGAUUUAUGGUGAUCUUCUUAUUAAAGAUUAUUUUCUAAGUUCUAAUAUCAAACCUUGUAUCUGUGUUGCACGCAAGUUUCUGUAUUAAAUCAGAUAGGAAUCUCUGCACACGGAGUAUUUUUCAUUUUCCGUACUCGUGAUAUUUGUUAAUCCAUACAUAUAUUUUCUUGGUUUUCAUUUUCUUGAUCAAUUAUAAGAUUUUGUUUAGGAUCCGACUAUAAUGGAGAUGCUCCACCAUAUAAUACGAGCAAAAUUAUAAUGUAUAUUUUAUUAUUUAUCAAUUUAGUCAUAUAGUUAUGUAGGAGUGUUCAACGGCAUAGCAUCUCCAACAUAAUUAUUACCUUUUGUUUAAUAUGCAUUGAUUUGAAUAGGUUUUUUUUACUUUUCUAGGGAUUUCAAUAAGGUGAUGUUUGGUUGAGAGGAGAGAAUGUAGAAUAGGAAAAUAAUUUAAAUUCUCUUUUUAUUUCCAUUGUUUAAUUUGACAAAAUGUAUAAGAAUUUAAUUUCUGUUAGAAUUUAAUAUCCAUCGUAAUAUAAAAUUUGAAUUCCAUACUAAGUAGUGAAAAAUUUAAAUUCCUCUUAUAUUAGAAAAUAGAAACUAAAGUUUUCAAAAUUACCCUUCAAAUUUUUAACUUAUUUAAUGCCAUUAAUAAUUAUUAUUUAUAAUUUUAUUUUAUUGAUUUACUAUUAUAAAUGGACCUCCACCGGACCACCGCCAGACCUCGCCGGAAGGUCGCCAGACCACCGUCGGGCUUUGCCGGAAAGUCGCUGAACCUAUGCCGGACUUCGCCGGACCUCCGCCACCGGCCACCAUACCGCCAUUUUAUUUUAUAUAUAUUAUUACUAAUAUAAAUAAUUUAAUAUUUAAAGUAAAUGAUAAAUUUUUCUAAAGAAAAAAAUUAUAAUUCAUUUUCUUAUAAAAUUUUAUAUCAAACCAAACAAUAAAAUCUAAUUUUACUACUUUUCUCCAUUCCUUUCUUCUCAUUUCCUCUCCAUUCCACUCUUUUCCUCUCCUUCAUUUUCUUCAAACCAAACAUAACCUUAGUAGUUAGUGAUUUCCUCUUUUUCUACUAAUUAAUUUGGCGUUAUUCCAUGGGGCUUUGAUUUGAAUUUAGUUGCGACUUCUGAAGUACCAAUUUCGAUUCAUUUUUUGUUGCUUUCCUUGUGUAAAUCCAAGUCAAUACGCGGUUGCAAUUUUGUCUUUUGCAAUUAAUUUGGCCUAUUAACAAUGCCUUAGAUUUGACCUAGAUUUGAUCCUUUUCGUCUCAAACGAAUUAUUUAUUAGUUUUAUUUAUUAUUUUUUGUCUAUUAAAAGAUAUGUUCAAAAUUGAUUUUUACAUUUUAAUUUUUUAACAUAACAACUGCAACAAGAAAAAACGACAAAUAGAAGAAGAUGAAGUAGACGAAGACAAAGAAGAAGAUUAAAGGACAGAAGAAGAAGGAUAAGACUACAAAAAAUACUUUCUAUUUUAAAUAAAAAGUAAAAAAAUAUACUAAAAGUAUUGAUUUGCUGGAUUGGCUAAGUCACAUUUCAUGUAAUUAAAGAAUGCCUCUAAAACAUGCAAAAAGUCAUAACAUUCAAGGGGGAUCCACUUGAACUUUCCAAGAGCUGUAAGUUACAUGAAGGACUCAUUGUUUAAUUAGAUAUUGUUUAAGAGAUUAGAAAUAAAAUUUUUAGGGUUUAUGGAAAGAGAAUUAUAUAUUAAAUGGCAAGUGUGUUAUAUGAAUGUUCAGAAUCUUUAUAUGUUAGUUUAUAAGAGAGAGUCCAUAUUAAUAAUUCAUAUGAUGAGCAUUUUUGUAAUAAAAUAAUUUAUUAAAAUAAGAGGUACUCAGAAUUAUUUUUAAAGUACAAAUAAAUUCACUCAAACAUAAUUUAGUUUUUUUUCCCUUCUGAAACUCACUCUUCAGUUUUUAUCACUGCCAUAACUGAAUGCAAUUUCAAGAACCUAAAGAAUAUAGUCCUAAUGAUACAAAUGAAAUUUCAAAUAAUAUCAUAAUCCUUUCCUGAUCUAAGCUAUUCUGAACUUGUAAAAAUCUUGAGCCAUCUAUCUUUUAACGUUAAUGUAUAAUUAAGAUUUAGGGCCAGAUUGGUAAUAUUGUAAUUUUUUUAAAUAAUUGUUAUUAAUUAUGUUAUAGAAAUAAUCAGCUAUAGAAAAAAUCAGUUAAACAUUUAGUAAAAUUUACUUUUAAAAGUGCUGUGAUUUUUAAAAGCAGUCGUAUGUUUUUGUAAAUUUUACUAUUAAAUUGUUAUAAGAAUGUAAAUGACUAAAUUAGAUAUAAUAUUGAAUAAAAUUUAUUUAUGCAUUUAUAAAUAUGUUUAUAAAUUAUUUUAUUAUUGUGUAUAUAUUAUAAUUAAUAACCAAAAUACAUAUUUUAUGUUAUUAGUUUUAUUUAUUAUUUUGUUAUCUCAAUAUAAUUGAUGAUGAUGAUGAUAAUGAUAAUCUCAUUAAAGUUAGUGAUUUUAUUUCUAAAUUAAUAAGAAUAAUUUUAAAUUUUUAUGAUACAUAUGACAAUAUAUAUACAAUUGUUUUAAGUAUAAAACUGAUUUUUAGAAUCAAUAUUAAAAAGCUACGACUUCCUAAUUAUUCAAAAUUUGCUUUAGGAUAGAGGUGAUCUUGGUAAAAGUGAUUUUUAAAAAUUUUUAUCAUAUACUAAAAUUAAUUUUUAUUUUUUAAAAAUUACUUAUAAGCUUCCCAAAAAUAAUUCUAAAAAAACCCUUAAUCACUUUUAUUUUUUAAUUUAUUAACUACUCGCCAUAAAAAUAAAUUUACUCAAACACACACACACACACACACACACACACACAUAUAUAUACAUACAUAUAUAUAUAAAAUGAGAAGCUCAUCACCAGCAACAUGGCAAGUCGCGGUCCUGUUGACCUAUAAGUUAUAUAUAUAUAGAUAGCUACAAAUUUUUUUAUAAUUUUUUUUGUAUAAAUUGACAUGACAUGUUUUAAUUAUUUAGAUUAGAUAUCUAUUGGUUCGUAUGAUUUAUUUUAUUAUUUUAUAUUUUUAUUCAAUUAAUGAAUUAAUAUCAAAUCAAUUUGUAUAAAAUAAAUUUAUUUAAGAGUUUAUGGUUAUUUGUAUAAAAUAAAUUUAUUUAAGAGUUUAUGGUUAUAAGAUCGAUCAAUGUAUAAGUGGGCACUGCAGCCUCGUAUGCCAUGUGCACUUUGAUUCCUCUUCUUUGAAAAAUGAAAAUGAAAAAAAAGGUAAGCAUCCCAGAGGCUCCUUUGGGCUCCACCGGCAAAACCAUACCUCUUGUAGGCUUCGGCACGGCCCAAUUUCCUUUCGGAGCAGCCACUGAAGUAGUAAAAGAAUCCGUUGUGCAUGCAAUAGAAGUCGGCUACAGACACUUCGACACCGCCGCAAUAUACCAGUCCGAGCAGCCUCUUGGGGAAGCAAUAGCCGAAGCGUUGCGUCUUGGGCUCAUCAAAUCACGCAAUGAGCUCUUUAUCACUUCAAAGCUUUGGCUCGGCCACGCACACCGUCAACUUGUCCUCCCUGCGCUACAAACUUCUCUCAAGUAACUAAAUUAAAUUAAUUACAAGCUAGCUCAUUGCCUAGCUGCAGGCAAGUAUCAUCUAUGGUUUAAGGUUGACUGAUUGGUUGCUGACGUUAUUGAUAAUUUAUUUUUGCAGGAAUCUGGGAUUGGAGUAUAUUGAUUUGUAUCUGAUUCAUUUUCCGGGAAGCUUGAAGCCUGGAACAGGGUUCCCAUUCAAUAAAGAAGAUAUUGUGCCACUUGAUUCUGAGGCUGUUUGGGAGGCCAUGGAGGAGUGUCAAAAUCUCGGCCUCACUAAAUCCAUUGGAGUCAGCAACUUUGCUUGCAAGAAACUUGAGAGGUUACUUGCUACUGCCAAAAUCCCUCCUGCUGUCAAUCAAGUGAGUCCAAUAAUCUUGAUUAAUUAUAUGUAUUUCAAAUUUAAUUAAAAUAGAGUUGUCUAAUUAUGUUUUAAAAUGAAGUUGAAUUCCCUCCGGCUGUCAAUCACGUGGGGCGGUGUCACUAUGUUGCCAUGUUCAGUCAUAUAUUAACACUUGGAAGGAGAAAUACAUAAUAUUAAUGUUGAAAUCAAACUGUACUGUAUAAAAUAUUUCUCCUAUGGCAGCUGAUUUAAGUUAAAAAUAUUAAUCAUGAUUAUUUGGGUAGGUCGAGUUGAACCCAGUUUGGCAACAAAAGAAGCUGAGAGAUUUCUGCGAGAAGAAAGGAAUUCAUAUUACUGCCUACUCGCCAUUAGGAGCCAAAGGAACAAGAUGGGGAACCAAUCGAGUCAUGGAAUGUCAGGUGCUGAAAGAGAUUGCAAACGCUAGAGGAAAGUCUGUUGCUCAGGUAAUUUUUUCUUUUUUUCAAAUUUUUAUUCGAGUUUGACAAACAUAAUUUGGUUGUAAAUGCUCACUACGUGGCACAAGAUCGAAGUGGCAUCUUUUAUGUUGAUCUUGAUUAUAAGGUUUGUUUUGGUGCGCUUGAAGGUUUCUUUGAGGUGGGCUUAUCAGCAAGGAGUGAGUUUGGUCGUGAAAAGCUUCAAUAAAGAAAGAAUGAAAGAAAACCUCGACAUAUUUGAUUGGGAAUUAAGUGCCGAGGAGCUGCAAAAGAUCGAACAAAUUCCACAGUAUAGAGGAAGUCGCGCUGAGGUGCACGUGUCAGAGGAUGGUCCUUAUAAAUCCUUGGAGGAUCUAUGGGAUGGAGAAAUUUAAUUAAUUUAACAAUAAAGACGCAAUUAAAUCAUUAAAUAACUUAAUUUAACGCAAAGUUUGUUCGAGUGACACUAGUUCAUAUUAUGUCUAAAUACCUGCGAAGAUAAUCGUGUUACAGUUUUUUUUUUUCUUUUUUUUUCCCUUCCUUUCCAGGUUCUAUAUGUUAAUACCCCAUACUUCGUCCUAAUCUUUUCGUUUGUAGGCUUUUCACAGUAAUACGUAUUGCAUGUUAAUCAAUAUUACAUUAUAACUAUUUUUUUUUUAAUUCUACUACUAUUACACCUCCAUGGCAUAAUAAUUUAAUUAGUUUUAUUGCCGUCGUUUCAACAUGUGCCGCUAUUGCAGAAAACCGUUUGUGGCAAGGUUAGAAAGUUGUCAUUUAGUAAAAUAAUUUAGACCUGUUUAGUAUUAAGAUUGAGUAAUUAUAACUUAAAAAAGUUGCAAUACUACCGUGUUUGGCAAAAAUUAAUUAUUUUAGUUUGAAAGUUAAAUUAAUUUUAUCCACCAUUUAUAUGAUAAAAAACUUAUAAUAUUUCUAUUAUUUUUGUUAAAAUGAUCAUUGAAAAUUCAUAUUUACUGUAUAUUAUUAAUUUUUAUUUUAUAAUUACAAUUUUUAUUUCCUAUAAUAGCUAUAUCUUAAAAGCUAUAACACUUCAAGAUCAAACAUGCCUUUAAAUUUGCCUUCUGAUAUUCUGGUUGGAGUUUUCAAUUUAUGUUGUGGUUGUAAACAUUAUGUGGGGGUGAUUUGAAUCUCAUAAUGUAAAUUUGCUAACGCAAGAUUUGCUCUCUGUGAGGCAAAACAUUAUUAGGCAGUUUUGACAGUCUAAAUCUCGUAUUUUGAACAUGAAAAUAAAUUAUCUGAGUCUACGUAAAUAAGACAAAUAAAAAUUAUAAUUGUCUUCUAACUUGAGCUUCUUUACCUAAAAUUACUAGUCACUUUGGUCAAUAACACAUAUAAAAUAUAUUGUUAAAGUAAGAGUAAUUCUUUUUACAUCUCUUUAAAAUCCUUAUAUAACCCCGUUUUUAGUCCUAUUGCUAUUAGAAGUUACAUUAACGGACAAUAUGAAUUUAAUAAAACUAAAAUCAUUACACCUACAAAUUAUGAAUCCUCCCAUCUUUAAAUCCUAAUUUAUGACAUAAUUAUUAUUAUUUUUUACAAGUUCAAAAUAGAUUUGAGAUAAUGAAGAAAUAAAACUACCUAAUGAUAAGAUUUUUAUUUUAAAAAGUAUAUUUAAAAUUUGAUUUACUCUAUUAUAAUGUUUUAUCCUUUUUCGUAAUUUUUAAUAGUAGUAAGUGCAACGAAAAAAAUAACGGGGCUUCGCAAGAGUUUAAAAGGGUUUUGAUUGCAAUUAAGAUCCGAGGCCCAAAAGGGCCUAAAAUGUGAGCCCAUUAUCAUCAGGAGCUCUCGAUAAAUGAAGUUCUUAAAGGUUUCCAAAAGCCCAAUGGGAAGGUCAUGUGUAGAGGCUCCCAUUUCAGUCCUUGCCCGGAAAGAAACACUCGAAGGUUCUCAAAAUGGCAGGCUGGCUUGUGGCAUCUGUUUAAGCUAUUUUACGGUAGGAACUGUGAAGCGAAUUUGCAGAUGUCAAAAUAAAAUUAUAGUAUGUCAACUCGAAAGUGAUGGUGAAUUUAGAAGUAUUUGAUAAAUUUUGAGUCUCAUAUGCAAUCCAACACAAAUUAAAUCACUUUAAACAGUAAAGAAGAGAGUAAAAUAAUUAAAGUAUUGUAGAGGGUUAAGCGAAAAUAAAUAUCUUACAUGGUUAGAUAAUAUUGAUAUAUGUUCACAACUCUGAAAGGUUAAAAAAAAAAAAAAAAUUGUACAUGAGAUAGUGUUCCCCACACUAUAGAUAGGACGACAAAAUUUUUAUUUUAAAUAAUAUAAUUCCAUUUAAUUAAUUUGUGAGUUUCAUUACUGAAGUGGCGUAUUUGUCCGACCUUUAAAAGAAAACAAUUACUUUACGUGGAAUCAGGAUUUUGUUUUAGUUAGGGUUGUUGCGCAUAAAUUAUAAACUUAAGUAGCCUAUAACAUAAAAUUAAUAAAAUUGAGAAGGCCGAGCGGCCAACAAGGCAAAAUUGAUACUGUAGGACCAUAAUGGGGAAAUUAUUUACAAACUUAGGUAGGCUAUAGAAGAGUAAAUGUAAAAACUAGUGAGCCAUACAUGAAAAUGUACAGAAGUUUUUUAAAUUUCAAUACAGUCACUCAAGUUUUUUGGACAUCAUAAUAAUAAUAAUAAUAAUAAUAAUAAUAAUUACGACAUAUUUCAGCCUCCCGUGUCUAAGCCAAAUGAACUUCAAGAUUAUUUUUUGGCAAAAUAAUUUUAUACGUGCAGGGCUUUAAAGGUCUUAUAAGUAUCAUUUUUGAAACCUUAGAACUCCAUCCAUCCCUUUUACUUAAUUCAACGAACAAAACAAGUAAUUUAACUUAAUCUUCUAAGGACUGUAUUAUAAAAACCACACAAAAGACUAAUCAAUAUUUUCUCACAUGUUUUAGGAUAAAAAAGAUCUUUUAGAGGUAAUGCCACUUUUCAAAAUAUUAGGAGACUGGAAGCAUUUGUUCUAAGGGUUAAUUUUGAUUUACCCCUAAUAAAUUGAUUAUCUUCAAAAUAUUUAUUAUAUUAUUGUACACUUCAACCUACCCUUAAUUACCAUCGAAAAUAUAAGAGCAAAUGGGGGCUCAUUGAAAAAAAAAAGUCACAGCAAUAAUUGGGCGUAAAUUGAAUUUUUCAAGAGUUUGAAGAUAUUUUGAAGAUAGUCAAUUUAUUAAGGGGUUAAAUUAAAAUUAAUCGUGGUUUUAAUGUAAAAAUAUAUAUACAAAUUUGUGAGAGAAUACACUUUCAUAAAAUUAUAAAGACAACAUUAGAAAUUAUCCUUUAUUCUUUUAGAUACAUCUUUAAUUACUUUUGAGAAUAAAAAAUAAAAUUCACUUGGUUAGAUGAUUCAUGAUUCUUUCUCUCUCUCUCUCUGCCUUUUUUUUUGGGUGUCGAAACUGUACAUGUGUGCAUAGCUUUAUGAAAGUAGGGUAGUCUUUUUGUAUCUCUCCUUUGCUUGCACUGCAUGUGGGAAGAGAUUUCGUAGCCAUCAACUAAUGGAGAUUAGGGCAUAGAGACAAGGUCACUUUUUGUAUAUAUUUUUAUCGAGUUUCCAUUCUAUGGGUUGGGGGAAUAUGUUGAGGGCACAACUUUUACCUGGCUGUCAAAGCUGAAAGCAGAAACCUUUUUCUCUCUUAUUAUGUAGUUUUAUUACUCACCUUUUCCCCCUCUGUUUCAAAAGUAGUAAGCCCCUCCAUCUACCUUUUGCGCAAGCAUAUAUAUAGAUAUUAACAAGUGUAUCAAUGAUGUCUGUAAUGUGAUUGAGAGAUCACAGUAUUUUAUUAAUAUAUGUAAUUAAUUUUCCACUUCAAAUGAACUCCAAACACUUCACCUUAUCAAAUUAACCCAAGAAUUAAGCCCCUUUAAAAAAAUAAAUAAAUUCAGAGACAGUGCCCACGUGGUCUUGAUUCAUUUUGGUACCACCACUAUAUCAAAAAUCCAUGUUCUCGAACUCUUUCUGUCACUUUUGUUUGGCAAUUUAGCUAAAUUUUGCACCCUAAAAACCACUUGCAAGAUCUUGGCAGAUGCAGAAUGCGCCAUUAAUGAGGAUUCGACCGAUCACAAUUCACAAACCCCACCCAAAUGUCAUUCACUCAUCCCUUAAUGUUUAUAUAUGGUAUUGGAUAUAUAUCCAAUUUUUUAUAAAAAUCUUUUAAAAUGUUGCUUUCUGUUAUUAUUUCGACAGCAUCCUUUUUAGCAAUAUAUGACGUUGCAAAUUCCAUUGUGAUACGUAGCAAUUAAUGGUACUAUUAACAUUCAAGAUUGUGGAAGCUGGGCAUAUAUCCAUCCAUCAAUCACGCUGUACCACAUAUCUAAUAGACUGUCCAGAUUAUCAAAAUACUCUCUUUUAAGAUUAGGCAAGAUGUGUGUAUAUAUAUAUAUAUAUAUGUAUGUAUAUGUAUGUAUGUAUGUAUGUAUUUAUGUAUUAUAAUUAUAAUUGAAAAAAAGAAAAAGAAAAUUGGUCAGUCACGAUGUAGAGGCACGAAGCAUGUACAAUUAUUUACACGAUUGAUCCAACAAUUCACAUGAAUUUAAAGAGAAGAUAGUUAUUUUAGCUCAAAUUGUAAUAUUUGAAUUCAUUGAUAGUUAUUCGUAUGAUUUACAUAAUAAAAGAGAGUAAAAAUUACCUGGGUUAAACUAAGUAUAAAAGUCCAAACGAAAAGUUAAAAAGAAAUUAAGUCAUAUAAUUAAGAAGUGUAAGGUUACACAUUAUGAAAGAUACUUUGGUGCGGAUGAUCCAUAUUUGAAAAGAAAAAAAAUACACAAAAAUAAACUCGCGUGCAUUAAAAGAUAAACAGAAAUGUUGAAUAAGAGUUCGUGGUUUAUGUUGUUUUAGCCCGGUCAAAUAAUCACUAGAUAGCUUAUGUUAUUUCGCUAAUUUGGUUCAUUUUAAAUUCAAACCCUUCAACUAAAUGAAACCAGUGGACACAAAAAGCAAAAUGAAAAUAAAAAUAAAUAAAUAAAUAAAUAAAUAAAUAAAAAGGGCUGCAUUAAAAGGUGAAAGAAAGAUGAGCACACACAUGGUCCCAAAAAUUGCAAAAAAGCAAGCGAGAAAUGGAAACACUUUUUGUGCACCUUCAUUCUGACUUCGCUUUUUGCUUUGGUUCAAAUCGUGAAACAAUAUCAACAAACCAAACACAGCCUUUUACACUUAUUAAUAAUGCAUAAAUACACAUAGCAAACCAAUAACGCAUGUAUGUGUAUAUAAAUAUAUUUUUCCUCUUUCUUUUGAACGUGAAAAUGGAUUCAACUGAGAGUAAUUAAAUUUGUAUUGGCCUUUAAAUUGAUGAAAGAGUCAUUGUAUCUGAAGCCCUCUCUGUUUGCAGACUCUGCUGGAGCUGCCUCUUUCACACAUUCUGAUAAAGUAGUGUUACUGAAUUUUGAGAGAGAAAAAAGUUUUUUUGGUGGGUUCUGAAAUUUUUGUGUGUUGUUUACGUUUGAGAGGGACUAUAGCAAAGCCUGUAACCAUUUCAACUGUGGCACUGAAAAACAUGGUGUUUUUAUAAGCAUUUAAAGAGACAACAAAUGCUAUGAAAAUGACAUUGCCCUUUUCCUUUUUACACUCACUCUAUUUCUAGGCUCUAUAUAUUUUCUUCUCUCUCUCUCUCUCUUCUAUAGCAUUGAAUUUGAGUUGAAAUACCAUAGGUCAGCAUCUUUGAAUGGUUCUUCCUAUAUUUUAGCAAAAUGGUCCCUGGAUAGGCUAAAGAUGUUGAACAAAUCUAUAUAGUCCAUGGGUCAUUCAUUUAGGAAGCUUCAUUGGAAAAGGUCCUGAUCUAGCUUAGCAUGCAGCUAUAUAUAAAAGAACAUAAUUUGAAACCUUCAAACUACGAUUUUCUUUUUUUAAUUUUUAUCAUUUGGGUAUAAAAAAAAAAAGCAUUAUAAGUCUGAAUAGUAGGCAGCAUCGUAUAUAUUGCAAAUGUACGAACAAGAGGGUUUAUGCUUUUAAUUCUUAAGUAUCUUUGAAAGGGUACAGGUUCAUAAUUACUGUAUUAAAGCAUUUAGGUUUGCUCCCUCAGUGUUUCAUGAUUGCACUUUCUGCUGAAACAAUCAUUAAAAAGAAAAAUAGAUGACCAAAUUAAAGUUGCAUUAAUUCAAACUUAACGGUCCAAAACAAAAAGAAAAUAGUUCAAAGAUGGCAGAAAGGCAUGCAUUUUUAUGUAUAGAAGUGAUUAUGCUGCUCUAGGAUUCUUCUAAUGAUUGAUAUUUUCUUUUCUACAGUAAGUAAUUUUCCUCAUGGGGCGAAGAAUAUAUUCUUUCAUUUUCUAUCAAGUGUUCAUCAUUAUAUGUUGUCUCCAUUCUCAUUCAGCACAAAAGAUAAAAUUUCAAGCUAGAGGAUUUUACAAUAUCACUAUUCACUUCACUGCGGCAUCACCAAUAUUGAAACCCAUUAUAAGGCUCUUGCUUCUACAUCCACUAAAGAAAUGAAUUUAUAUAAAUCAAUUGAAGAACAGCUUACACCCCCAUCUAGCUACUUGAAAUCUCCACAACAUACUUAUUUGGUCAGAAUAAGUACUUGCAAUAAGGCAAGAGAAAAUGAACAAUCAUACACAAAAACAAAGAUUAUAUAAGAAGCCUGUUGAAAUAAUAAGGAACUUAUCUUUUCUUUUUUCUUUUUUCCUUUUUUUAUUUUGAGAGUAUAUGGUUCAAGACAAUUUCUUCAUCAUCACUCUCCUUCUCCUUCGGUAGUUGCUGAGGACAUGUAACUCAUGGCAAGAGAGGUUUCAUCACAAGGAGGCGCCAUCGAUGUUGAUGCUUGAAAUUGAUGCUUGCAAGCUUGGCAAGUAACUUGCAUGAUAGUAGCACUGAUCUUCUUUGUAGCUUGCUCUUUCAAAGCUAGAGCCUUUUCAAGUUCAGAUUGUGCUUGUUGCCUAAUCCUUUUAGCAUUUGCAAACUCAAGCUCGGCCAUCUCUAUCUGCCUCUUGGCUUGCUGUCUAGCCUCUUCAGCAUAUGCCUUUUCAGCCAUGGCUAACUUUAGCUGCUCGUUAGCAAACUCUUUCAAUUUUUUUGCUUCCAACGAAGGCUCGCAGGCAGUUGCAUCCGAACUGAUGAGCUUAUUUGAUUCACUGUUUUCGCCGCCGCUGUCACUUGACCCAAUAGAAAGCUUCAAAUGGGUUGCAUAGUUUUCAUACGAAGUUCGUGUUGCAUUGGAGUUCGAUGAUGAUGGUAGCAGCUGAAGCUCAAGAUUGUGUUCUUGUUGAUGAUCAGAGAUUGAAGCAUUGUUUCGACUAGAGUACAAGAAAAAGGGCUCUCCGGGCUUUUGCAACGGCAGUCCUGGCAAAGCUGGUGGUAUGCUGAAAUUGGCAUCACUCGAUGGACUCGUACUUGAAGCAGUUCUUGAUGAACAAGCCGGCUGAGCAUGCAUUGCCUGCGAUUCAGGCUGCUGGACUCGCUGCAUAGUGCAAGCAUCUUGGUGUUCGAUGAAACUCUCAACCCUAUAAAAGACAAAAAAAAAAAAAAAAAAAAAAAAAAGAAAAGAAAAGAAAAGGUUGAUUGAAAGUGAUGAUGGAAUUUUCUUAUUGCUUUUAAUAAUCAAAUGACCAAGUAAUGGAAUGGAAGCAAUAAAGAUUUUUUAGGCUAGCACAUGUAGGGUUACCAAGAAACAAACAAUAUAAAAAUGAUUAAAGAUCUGUAGAAUAGAUUAUGCGACUACGUUUACUAUAAAUAUUAAAAUAAAGUAAAAGAGAUUAUGAAAUGGGGUCUGUUUGUGCAAAUGCGACUGUUUAAUUUGUUCUCUGUGGAACUGGCUUUUAUUUUAGCUAUAGUAUUAGCCACAUAGAAUUAUUUGGAAAUAGUCAUGCAGCUAGUACAGCCCCUUGAACUUGGAUUGGCUGGCAUAUGUAGAUCACACCACACAAGAGGCAAGAAAACAUGAGGUCCAGUGUACUAACCAAAAUCUUUCUUGGAUUUAGAACAAUUAAUUACUCUAGCUCCUUUAAAGAUAACAAAACAGAAGCUUUAGCUUAACUAAGAGCCCUGGUGAAUCGAGAUUUUGGCACGAUUUCGUUAGGAUCUUAGGGUUUGAUUGAAAGAAUCAAAAAGGGGAUAAAUUUAGGAGAAAGAGAAGGACCUGGAAAACACUCGGCCACAGUCACAAGAAUGGCCUCUAGUACCACAAGUUUUGAGAUGUGCUUUGUAAUCAGAUUGAACAGCAUAUCCUUUAUUGCACUUGUCACAAACCCACUGCUUGUGGUUGCUGUGCUUCCUUCUAAAGUGCUUUUUGAUACCAACAAGAUCUCCCAAAGCAUGACAAGGGUCAUGGUGCAAGCAGCUUGGCUCUGGACAAACAAAAACCCUCUUCCUCACUUCUUGUGUUUCUCUCUUCAGCAACUUCCAUGGCACCUUGUGCCUUCUUCUAUGCAUUUGCAGGUUUUGGUCUCUUUGAAACCCUUGGUUGCAGAUCUCACAUACAUAUCUGUCUGAUUCUAACAAGGUCUUGGGUGAUAAAGAAACCACCUCUGCAUCCGGAUCUAUGCGUGUGUGUGUAUAAAUAUUAUAGAUAUAUAUAUAUAUAUCAAACAAAAAACGAAAAAACAAAAAUUAAAACUUGAAAAUUCACCUUAUUAGAAUUGAACCCAUAUACGAUAGAAAACUGAAAAAGAAAGCUACCUGGGGUGCCUGCUGGUUUUCUUUUCCUUUUGUUAUGAAUAGCGAGAGCACCAUUUUCUGAAGAGGAGAAAGGAUCAGAAGAUGAAGAAGGAUCAAUAAUAUUGAUGUUGUUUUCUAACAUGGGGUUAGAAUUUUUGUUGACUAGCAAGGCGAUACUACAAAGUGGUGGUGAUGCAGGAAUAGCGGCCUUUGUUUUUCAGCUUUACUGAUAAAAGAACAAAAUGGGUGGAGAGGAAGGGGGGGAAAGAGAAAGAAAAGAAGAAAGCGUUUUUUUUUUUUUUCCUUUUCUCACUUUAAGUUCUUUUCACAGAGAGAGAGAGAGAAGAUGAGGAGGGGGAGAGGAAGCAAAAGCUCUUGCUUUCUUUCUGCAAUCAGCUUUCUUUAAUCUUUUAAGCUUUUAAGCUCUUUUAAAUUUUUUAUAAAAAAAAUUGGAAGCUUUUUUUUUUGUUUUCAUUGACUCCCCACCCUUCUUCACCUUGUUUUAGUGUUUGUGAGGCUAAGUAAGUAGUCCAAAUUUUUUAUUAUUUAAAAAAUAAAAAGCAUUUGUUAUUUUACCUCAACAAAUACUCUACAGAGAGAGAGAUGCUGUAGCUGACCCAAUCAGAAAAGCUUGAAACUUUGAGCCCAGUCCCACUCUCACAGAUGGUAUUUGGACAGAAACAACAAAAAAACAUCCAUUCCCAUAAGAAAACAAACAGUCAUUAUUCAAUCACACACUGUAUAACUUUGCAUGUAUAACUGCAGGCCCAGUGUCACCUCUCUCUCUCUAGUCUACUUUACUCCACUGCACGUGACCUCACUUCCCCCUCACGUGACCUUAUUCCCCCUCCCCCUCCCUCCCUCUCUCUCGAACUCAAAAGUAAAAUCUCAAAAUGAUGAGUACUAGCUUACUGCAUUUGUUUAAUCAUUAUACUGAAGUAAACCCUGAUUAGUUUUUUUUUCACAUUUUCUUUUUGAAUUAUCGGCUUUUUCAAAAGGUAAAGGAAGCACGAUUAGUCACUUUCAAGAGCGAUGCAAUCAUUUCUUAAAACCAAAGAAAACGUUAACAAAAAAAAUAUUUUACUCAUGAUUUUCAUUUUUUCCGUUGGGGUAAUCAAAUCUAGGCACAUAUUGCCGCGUACGUUUGUUUCUCUAGAUUAGACUUCAAUUUUUUUUUUUUUUGCGGUAAUUAAACUUGUAGGUGAUCAAUGGAGAAAGAAGAGAAAAUGAGUAAAUAAUUUUGGGGCCAAUUUCAAAUGCUUUGACAAUUUUUUUUUUUUAAAACAUUUUCUUUUUUGCUUUAGACUAAUUAGCAGUAUGUUUGGAUUGUAAUUGAUUAUCAAAUACUAUUGUUACACUUACAAUCUUAUAAUGUAAAAUUUGUGUUUAACUGUGUGUGAAUUUUGAUGCUUGGGUCCUCGCAUAUAUAUCUCCUCAUGAAAGUAAAAUAAUAAAAUGAAUAACCCACUUAACAUAUAACAAUUUUUUUUAUAGCGUUGCACCAUAUGUUAUGGUUGUUUCUCGAAGAUUGCUUAGUGUUAAAAACUUAAUUUUAUCCUUAUUUAAAUAGGAAACAUGAAUACAAGUGGAUUUUGUAGUCCAAUAAGAAAACUUGUAUUAUGAAAAUUAAGGAUGGGUAGGUUGGAGUUCCAUCACGAAUAAAAAGUUAAGGUUAAGAUUUUAGUUCCUUUCUUAUUAAUGAGUAGUUUAUUAAAAUAAACAAGGUAAAAUAAGAGCCACACCCACUAAUUUAUUAGAAUCACCAUCAACGUAAAAACAUUUCAUUGGAAUGAUUGCAAUAAUGAUAAUAAUAAUAAUAAUAAUAAUAAUAAUAAUAAUAAUAAUAAUAAUAAUAAUAAUAAUAAUAAUAAUAAUAAUAAUAAUAUCGUCCUAGAUUUUAUCUCUAAAAAAUUUUCUCCGUUACUUAUGCUGUUAGCUAUUUUGGUGGGGUCAUUGCCAACUACAUCUUUCAUUUCUUUCCAAAUGAAAACUAGUUGGCUUUUCCGGGUUAUAAAGAAUAGAACAUUACUACCAACAAAGUGUUGGCUCCACUGGCAAUGGAGUCCCCUUAAGUGGCUUGACUGGGUUUGCUCCCCAGUUCGAGUCGCAGGGAAGUCGCCUUUGUUGGGAGAACCUGUGCCUCCCGGUUCGAGCGGGGACUUCUAGUCUGGGUUGUGGUACGGGCUUAAAGGUGCUUCCCACAGUUGGGACCCUCCCCAGGAUACCUCGUGAUUAAUAUAAAAAAAAAAAAGAAUAGAACAUUACUAAUUAGAAACCUUCAUAUUCCUCUCCUAUUAUAUUGUUAAUAGAAAAUACAAAUGCUCAAGCUAGCACAAAAGAAGUAAUUGCUUCAAGACAACAAUAAGAAGCUUCACUGAAGUUACUACUCAUUAAGUACCGCAAUUUAUUAUUAUUAUUAUUAUUAUUUUUGGUUGUUGCCCAUGAGAAGAAGAGAAAGAUUAAAGAAGUUUCAUAAGUAGUCUUAACUCUUGUUAUAGAUACUUCUAUAUAUGGUAGGGUAUAUUAAUACUUGAUCGUAUGCGAUAUUCAUGUUUGACCUCUGUUGACAUUCACAGUGAAACCGCCGAUGAUUAUAAAGUUAAUGAAAGAAUAUUAAUUCUAUUCACUUACCCAAAUAGUUAAAUAAAUUAAUUAAAUUAAAUAUUUGACGAUUUUAUAUAUAUAUAUAUAUAUAUAUAUUUUUAAAAAAAAGAGUAAUUAAACAAAAAGUAGAAGAUGCUUAUACCUGAUGUCGAGCUGGAAAGAAUGGGAAGAUGGGAUUCCAACACAUGCUGCUGAAUCGAAAAAGGUAAGUAGGCGGCAAUCAUCCCUCCCAAGUGCUGUAGAUUCCAAAAUCUAACAAAGUUUUUCUUAAUCCAAAAUUAGACAUUGAAAGCAGCCCCCAUUGGAACAGAAAAAAAAUGAAAAAAAAAAAAUAAUUGUGUGGACUUAGGCUAAAAGUUCAAUCAGGUUAUGCUCAUUUCAAUGUAGCUUCAACUUUACUCUUCAAAAUUCACCCAUUUCUGGUGAAAGCAACCAACAUCCAACAACACCAUAAAGUUUGUCCAUGUAAUAUUUUACUGUCACGUCCUAUUUAGUUACUCAUAUAAGGAUCAAGAUUCCACCUAAUCAAUGUUUUCUUUCUGAGUAAGAUAUUAGGCCUUUAUUAAUCAUUAUUCAAAAAAAAAAAAUUAAAAGAGAACAAAUUUUAAUAGUAAACAAUUAAUAAUGCAUAUGCUACGAGUAAUUUUUUUUAAUUACAUGAUAUUAAUAUUGAUAUAUUUACAAUUAGACAAUUAAGGGGACUAACUUUACAUUAAAUUUUAUAUAGUACUGCCUAGAUUUUAAUAAUCUCUAAUAUUUGAGGGAACGUAUGCUCUAUUCAUAUUUUGAAAGGGAGAAAAUUGCCUCCACCAAAUUAUUUUUCAUAUUAUGCCACAAUCAAUUCUUAAAAGUUGAAGAGAGCUAAAAUUAUGAGAGGGUUUUAGUUUCCUUCAUACAUACCAAGUAUAUUCUUAAUCGUCUAGGCUCUCUAAAACUACAUACUAGUUGAACAACAAUCUAUAUCAUUUGUGGGAAGAUAGUUGAGCUCCCCGUCUACAAUGAUAUAUGUUUUCCUCUAAAUAUUAAUGAAAAGUUGAUUGAGUUAUUUGAAAUUCGAAUAUUUGAUAAAAUUAACUUAAGGAACUCUUAGUCAAAUGUAAUAUUCGAAAAACAAAUCUGGCUAAAAUAUAUUUUCCUUGGAUGAUAGAGGUUAGCUUUUCUACCAAAGGGAAUCAUAUCUGUUUGAAUAAUGGUUGGUUAUUAAUUAUUGCAACUAUUUAUAACGCCCACAACUUCAGUCAUGUUUGUUAAUGAUCCUUUAUUUUUAUUUUUAUUCUUCUCUUAUUUUUAUGUGACACGCCAGCUUCUGCUUUUGUUUGCACAAUAUUAUUCAAACAAUAAAAAUAACAAGAUUCGGAUAUGAAUUUUUUGAUUUUCGUAACCAAGAGGAGAUUAAUUUUGAGAAUAAUUAUGAAAAAUCCGAAACAUAAUUCAUGCAUCCCUCAAUAAUGUCAUGAUGGGCUCUGCAAAGCAAUGGGGCCCGUUGUCAUUGCACUGAAACCUGAGGCCUUUGUCUGGUUUAGUUUUGUUGGUAUCCAAAGACAUGAAGUCAUCCAUAAAUUGUACUCACUGAAACCCAAAAAAAAUCAAGAAAAAAAAAAUUAUAAACAAAAGAAUUAGAUUACAAGAUCCCAUGACAAAUAAUAUAUAUAUAUAUAUAUAUAUUCGCUAAUUGCUCCACACACAAACACCAAAGCGUUGGCUUGCAUUUGCGGCAUAAAUAGAGAAGAUUUGUUUGUUUGUUUGUUUCUCUAACCUUCAUGGAACUUUCACUUUUGUUUUCUAGGCAAUUUUUGGUUGUUUGUUUUUGAAAGAAAGGGAGAGAGAAAAAGAGAGAGGCUGACAAUUUGUUUGGUGGGUUAUGUCAGAGGCUCUGAAAAGCAAACGUGCCUUGCGUAAUAAUAAAAAUAAAUAGCCAAAAAGAUUUAAAAAAAAAAGAAAAGAAAAAGGUUACUUAAAAAAAAAAAAAUUGUAAAAGGAGGAGGACGAUAAAGUAAAAAUAAAGACAAGACAAAAUUGCUUGGUAACAUGAUAGCCGAGUUCCCGGAAAGUCAAUAAAGUACCCUUUAAAAGUUUCAGCUGAUCAAACUUCACAGAGACAAAUAUACCCCAUUCAGAGACCCUUAUUUUAACUUGUGUAAGAAACAUAAACCACUCCUUUCCCAAAAAAGAUAAAAAAAAAAAAACCAUAAACCAUUUUCCUAUCCUCUCUAUCAAAGAUUUGCGGCGGGCUUGGUAAUAUACAGUCCGGUUCGGUUUAGGUUGAGAAUCGAACCGAAAUCAAAACUGAAGUUUAAAAUAGAACCAAAAAUUUCAGUUCGGUUCAAAUUGGUUUUGUUUUAUUUAGUUCCACCUGUAUUAAAUUUAAACUACAAACACAAUAUUGCAUAGUAAAACAAAUAUAGUAAUGCCAACUUAUACAACAGUUUAUUCAACAAUCACCCAAUAAGUUAAACAAUCUUGAUUCAUUCAACAAUUUUAUUCAGAAAAUACCCAACAAAUCCAGUAAUCCCAGCUCACAAAAUAAAUAUAAUUAAGGAAAAAAAUAAUUCAAGGAACAACAAAUGAAUAUAUAAAAAGGCAAAUAUUGCUCAACGCAAGUUACACAACUCACAACACGACGGCAACGGCAGGCUGGUGCCGACACAACCGACAACAAGUGGGAGGCGAGGCUACGAAUAAUGAAAGGCAAGGCUGCAACGACACUAGUGCGACAGGCUAGCUGAGGCGAUGAUGAUGAUGAUGAUGAUGAUAGCGAGAUGAACGGCAGAAGGGAUGGCUGACGAGUAACAGUGGUGGAUACUGUGUGUCACUACCCGCGCGAGUGGGAGUAUGAAAGAGAGAGAGUGAGAUGUGAUUGCUUAGAUUUAGAUUUUAAUUUUUAGAUUUUAAUUUUUAGUUUACUUGUUUAUGUUUUUAAUUUGAAAGAAAGAUUUUUAAUUUUAUUGAAAGAACUAAUCGGUUUAUGGGUUCAGAUUGAUAUUGAGCCGAAUCGAAUACAAACUAAUUGGAAUUUUAAAUUAUGAUUUGUUUGAUUUUUGUCCUUAUAAUCAAAUAGAACCGAGAAAUUUCAAUUUCAACCGGUUCAAUUCAAUUAAAAAAAAAAAUCAAACCAAAUACGCACUUGUAAUUUUCAAUCUAGAAGAGUUAAGAGUAAUGAUAAACAUCUCAAAUUUUUUAUUUUAAAUUUUAUAAUCAUUAAUUAAGUGGUUGAUAAUUUUUUAUAAAAUCUAAGUAAAUUAAUUUUAUUAUCUUAUCAACUAAUCGAUAAAUACCACAUUAUUUAAAAUAAAUUUUUUAAAUUAAAAAUUUUAGAAUAUAUAGCAUUUACUCAAAGUGCUAAUACCCAUUGACCCACCAAAGACUCACUUUUUAUCUUAAUUUUAAAAUUCUUUCUUUCGGUGUUUUUGCUGGAUCUGCAAAUAACCAAUGGGCCUGCUCAUGGGCUGGAAAUGGGCCAGAAGAAUGCGGAUCCUAAAGAAAGGUGUGAGAUCUCAAAUGCACCCUAUAUGUUCCUAAUCACAGCCAUUUUCUCCAGCUUUAAUUGUUCAUGAAUCAUCAUGACCUUGAUUGACAUUCCAAAUUCGAUUCUACAAGCAAUCGCAAGCCAAAAAGGCAUAAAUUAUGAUGAAGAGAAAAUAAAUCUAAAACUGGAUGCUCUUUGAUGCCGAAAAAGUAUGAAUCAACAUUCUUUCUUGUAUUAUGGCUUUAUUAUUUUGUACAUUGUAUAUGGGCUAUGGUAAAGAAGAUAGAUGUACAAUCUCUUGCUCGCACCGAUUGCAAAGAAAAAUAUGGGGAAUUUCCUCAUUGUUAGGAAUUCGAGCACACUGUGUGUGCUGCCAAACUUCACAAAUAUCGCAAGAAACCAUUCUUUCACCAUCAUCCUCGUCAGCACCGCAAGCACAUUCUACAACACAAUUUACCAUCCCAUUUUCAUAUAUUUGGCCAUAAACAAUUCCUCUCUCGCUGUUGCUUCCUUCAAAAACAAUUCUUCUACCCACUUCAACAAACCCACAAACCAAAUCUGUGCCAGUGGCAUUCACAUUCACUAUUGAUUCGAUCACGAAACUCCUCAAUCCCCAAUACAAUUCUCUGAAGUUCCUUUGCACUUCUAGCUUAAGCUCAUCAACUGUGGCAUUGUUCUUUAUUGUGACACAUUCGUAUGGCUGCAUUGCGCUAUUGCUUCGUCCUCCAUUUGGAUUUUCACCGUCUCUUAAUAUAACCGUGCAAUACAGCUUUAAUUUCCCUUCCAGGUCCAAUCCAGGUUUAGUAGAACAAACCUGGUCUCGACAACAUUCUUUAACAAAGUAUUUGGUGUCAAGAAUUAUCCUGGAAGCCACUGAUAUCCCACUGAAAAUUCCUGAGCUCGUUGCCGGCUUUUGAUCAUGCAGAAUAAGCUUGUACAAAAUGCGCACGUCCUUCAUCAAUUGAGCCACUGAAAUCCUGUACCGAGUCUUUGUCUUUGAAUUGCCGAGCACCAAAUCCUGUUCAGGAAAUACAUUGGAAAUAUCUUCCAAGCAAUACUCAAGAACUUUCGUCACAGGAUUCAAGCUGCGGCGAACCAAAUAUUUCCCCACUAUGUGGUUUCCAAGAGAUUUCAGCACGAAAUCUAGCAAUCCUGUGUCACCAAUAUAAGAACGAGCAACAUCCCUAACUUCUUGCCUGGAAACCCACCUGGAUUCAGCUCUUUUCAGUGAUUCAACGAUCACUCGAGUAGCCAUUUCGACUCUCUUGGCAGACCAUCUACAGUUAGUUUCCACUAGGAUUCCAGGAUUGUAAGAACCAAAAUUACAAUUUUCUUUCGGAAGCCUGGACUUGAGGUCCAGCAAGAAAUGGAAAAGAUCACCAAGCGUGGCCAAAAAAUGGUCCGAUAGUGUCUGAUAUCUUGUGAAAAUGAGUGGAAUGUCUGGAUUCAAAUGUCCGAGGUGAUUAAGAAGCAAGCACAGAGGCAUGCCCUGUAUUGCUUCUAUUGCUUUUUGGUACAUGGGUUGAGUAACACCAAAGCUGCCACGCCCAAAUUUGUAGCCCCAUUGACCAAACCAUGACUGGCUAUAUGCCACUACAUGAAGAAGCCUCAAUUCCAUGCCUUUCUUCCUUGAAAUGUCAUACAAACUCACUUUCCUACCAUGUAAAUGAUUAUAAAUUUUCAUCAAUCUUAUCACCAAAAUGAUAAAACAAAAAAAAAUAAAAAAUUUCAUAACACCACGAUCGAACCUUGCUUGUAAUCCGCUACACAAACGAUCCCAGAAAUCCAUGAUCUGGUGUCCGGUCAAGUCCGAACCCGUUUCAACACCAUUGACACACAGCAAAUGCCCGAACCCGUUUGAGUGGAAAACACCAUGCAUGGCAUGGCCCUGUAGUUGCAUUAAAUUCGACGACAUACCAGCAUCUUCACCUUCAUUGCCUUGGAAGUUUAAAUAAGCAGCAGCCAUGUUCUUUGAGGGCAAAAUAAAAUGAUACUUCUUAAUACAAACCAUAUGGUGUCCCCAGCCUGUUGUAUGAUUCAAAAACUUAAGUGGUGCGACAUAAACAAAUGUUCAUAAUUAAAUAAAACACUUAAUAUAUAACUAUUAAUAAAGAGAAAUAAUAUAAGAAAUACAAAAUAUACGGACGGCAACAAUAUUAAUUAAAGAAUUAGGACAUCACCAACGUAGCGGCAGUGCUUGCAUUGAUGAUCCAUUGACGCCUCAACUGGUUCCUCGAUGACAAAUAAAAAGACAUGGAAUGGAGGAUGGCGACGGACUUCAAGUUGAAAUGACCAACAAGGCAUUCCAUUACAUAAAUUUCUGUGUAUUUGUCCAAAUUCUAGAAGAGCUUCCACGUUAUGCCUAAAUGCCCCAUCAAACUCAACUGGGUAACCAUUGUCACCAAAUUUCUUGAACCUAAACACCCUCGAUUCUCCUCUCUUCCUCUUCUUACUGUCAAAAUUCAACAUCCCGAUAGAGAUUAAAGAAGAAGAAAGAGGAGAACAAAAUGAAGCUAAAGAAUCAAGGGAGACCUUAGCCUUAGAUAUAAUGGCUAGCACUUAGUCACACACUUAGUGCCAAGAAAUUAAUAAAAUUGGAUAGGAACGAAAUGACACCAUGCAUCAAUCUUAUCAAAUUGAGAUAUGGAUGGGUCACUAUUUGCAUGAGUUCUUACAAAAUAGCCUCCCAUGCAAAUCUAUCGUGCCUAUGUAUGCCAUGACAUGCAUUUUUGAAUUUGAUAAAUGGUAUCAUGCUUUGAUCAUGCUACCAUUUGACCAAUUUAAAUCAUUUUACGGCCCGGCAAAUUCUGUGGUCAGCUGGGUUAUGUUGAUUUAUUUUUUAAGAGAGUGAUAAACGCAACACUUCUUGGCCAACUACUCGACGAAAAUAAAGUUUUUAUUAUUAAGUUUUCGAAGCUUGUUCUAUGAAUCACAUACAUUACAUUAAUUUAACGAAUUUUCUGAAUUUCAAAAAUUAGUUUAAUAAACUAACUAACGAAACAAUAAAGACAACUAAUUUAUAGAACUUUCUUUUUCGAUAACUUGGUCGUUUUGUUUUGAAAGUAAGAGGCUGAUCACAAUUUGUCUUCCGAGUUCUGUUAAGGUUUGAAAAGCAACGAGGAUUGAGCAAGUCGUAAAGUGGCAAAGGCUCUACUUUAGGAGAAAUUCUACCAUAUAUUAGAGAUUUUAUGUCACAAUCUGAUGUGAAACUACGAAAUAAUAAUAUUAAGACAUAUGGCAAUAAAAAUUUUAAAAUUUUAAAAUAUUUUGUAAUAAUUUCCUCUUUUCAUUAUCCCCAUGAUUUUCAAAGUAAGAGACAAAAUAUUAAAAUAUUUUGUAAUGGCUGCUGGUAUGGGUGUAUAGAACUUUUUUUUUUUUUUGUGGGUGAAUUGUUAAUUAAUUUAAUACCAAUUUUAAUUUGCCUAAAUAAUGAAAUUAAAGAAAGCAAUACAUAAUACACCCAAAAAAAAAGAAAGCAAUAUAAGUUUUUGGUCAUUAUCCUUGGCGUUGAUUUGGCUUCAAAAUGGGGCUGGAACUGUAAAUUGAAUUUUCCACUUUACCAUUCGCUUCUUCCCUAAGGUUUAAGGAAUGAAUGAAGCUAUGAUUGUACCCGGAUAGAGAUGAUGGUCCCCCUUUGAUGUCUCCAAGCUGGCCAUAAUAGAAUAGAAGGAAAUAGAUAGACGAAGCAGCCAAUUAAUUUGAAUUAUUUAAAGGAAUGGGAGGUGUAGGAUCUGUACGUAUUCCCAAAUCGAAGCUUUAGACUACAAGAUAAUGGAAAAUGAUGCAGUAAUUGGAAUGUUUGACACUAGAAUUUGAGGAGAGUUUGAAAAUUUUAAUAAAAAUGGCAGCACUCAUGUUUCAAAAGUCAUCUUCCGUCAACAGAAAUCUUCUCCUUCCUUCGUAGUAAAAAAAUAAUAAUAAUAUCUAAAAUCAUCUUCAUCAAUUAAAAAAAAAAAAUCCUUCUUCAUCAUGUUUAAAAAAUGGCAGCUACUAGAACAAAGAUGAUGGAUAAGAUUUUUGUGGGGGCGGGGGGGAGAGAAAUUAUAAAAUUUUUUUUUUUGAAUACUGAUUAAUCAUCAUAUUACUGCAUUACAUAGAUAUUUACAACUGCUAUUAUAGCAGAUAUAUUACACUGAUAUUUACAAUCAGAAAUACAUGAUUAAUCAUCAUAUUACUGCAUUACAUAGAUAUUUACAACUGCUAUUAUAGCAGAUAUAUUACACUGAUAUUUACAAUCAGAAAUACAUGAUUGGGACUUAUAUUAUUACAUUGAAUUUUGUGAAGUACAUGCCCAGACAAAUAAUCCCUUACAGAAGAGGGAUGUCCAUACUCCACUCGUAUUGCACGAGGGAGAGGAAAUUUUUGAAAUAUUAAACAAAUAAGCACGUUAGCCCCCACAAAUGCUUUUGUGGGGGCUUGAACCGCUGCCCUCACAAGCCCUCACAGCCCACCACUCCGACCAAGGCCGAAGUGGCGAGAAAUUAUAAAAUUGAGUUAAUUAAGGGGGAGAGAGAAAAAUUUAAUGUUUGUUACUUUCAAAAAUUGAAAAUUUUUAUUUCAAAAUUUGUUUUUAGUUUCUAUUGCCACGUGUUUAGAAAUUAUUAGUAAUUAGUAUCAUAUCAGAUUAUGACAUGAAACCUCUAAUGUACUGUAAUAUUUUUCUUAAUUUAGGCUGUUUCAUUAUUUGACAGGAGUAGUAACAUUUGAAUCCCUUAAAUAAUUUCACAAGUCCUAUUUUUUAAUUAAAAGUAAAGAAAAAUAAAAAUAAAAAUUAGCAAACGUCUUAACUAACUCGGUGAUGAUUUUUUUUUCUUUUUUAUCAAUACUCGACAAUGAAUUAAAAGGUAUUUCAUUCAGUAAUGUCGUCAAUAUCAUCUUAAUAUUAAAUUAGGCCAAAAAUUAAAAGAAUUUUAACCCAUUGCGACAAAAGUAGGGAAAGGGGCCUUCCUCCGAGGGCAAUCAGUCAAGCAAGGAGCUACCAAAUUAUCAUAAGAGCCGGGCAUUACGUGCAUAUAUGUAUGCAGUUGCAAGAAUCACACAGGAUGCAAAGGAUUUCAGUUUUCACGAUCAUAGGCAAAUCCUUAUAUAUGGGUUACGACGUGGGGAAUGUGCACGCGUAUAAUGAUAGACAUCACAAUGUUUUAAAAUAAUAAAAAUUAAAAAGCAAUUAAAAAUAAAAUGUUGUUUAAUACAAUGAUUGAUUUGGUGAUGAUGUUGAUGCCUCAAAAAAAUGAGAGAGAAAAGGAAAAAUAAAAUAAAAAGACAUGUUUAUUUUUAUUUUGUUCGUAAGGAUAUUUUUGAAUAUAGAUAUAAUAAAUUAAAAAGUCGGGGCCGUUGAGAUAAAUCGAGGAGCUCAAAUCGAUUGAUUGGUACUAUUGCCACCCCUAAAAAAUCUUCAUAAAACCCCGCUUCAUAAGAUACUCGUUUGGUUAUUUUUAAAAGUACAACAUCUCUAAUAACACAUAAUGUCAUUUUGCCGUUGCCACCCCAAAAGUUCCUCAUAAAACCUCGCUUCUUAAGAUACCCCAUUUGGUUGUCUUGAAAUAUACAAUAUCUAUAAUAACACCUAAUUUAUUUUGCUAUUGCCCGCCCCGAAAAAUUUCUCAUAAAACCUGGCUUUUUAAGAUACCCCAUUUGAUUGUUUUGAAAAGUACAACAUAUCUAAUAGCGGCUAUUUGGUUUACUAUUAUCACCCCUAAAAGUUCCUCAUAAGCCCCAGCUUUCUUAAGAUACCCUAUUUCGUUGUUUCGAAAAGUACAUCUCUAAUAACACUCAUUUUAAUUUUAAAAAUAACUCUGCUCGUUUAUUUUUACAACAAAAUUUCAGAAUAUAUAUUUUCUCCCUCUAGAAAGCUGUUGACACUUUCACUUUCUACAUGACUUCCCCAAAUUUAAACAAGAACAAGAAAUCCAAAAAAUUUUAAACAUCUAGAGUUAUUUUCCAUUUAUUCUUCAACCUCAUCCUUCUCUUUUACAUAGGUGCUUCUUUGAAAAAAAAGUAGUUUGAUACAAGUUUAAAUACUGCUUUGUUAUUGAAAAUCUCUUGAACAAGACUACUUAAUUUUGCAGGACAUUGAAGAAAUGAGAUUUUAUUAAGACAUCUUCUGCGUUUAAAUAUAAUUUCUUUAAAGUUAAUAUGCGUCUGCGUUGAAGAAUUGGAUGUAAAAGGCAUCUUUCCCCCACACCACCCCACCAAAUAUAAUUGUUAUUAGGGUUAAAAUAAAGUGAGGGGUUUUUAUUAGAAGUUUGUAGGGUAGUGAAGACGUACGUAAUUGAUGAAAGAGAAGAUAUGAGCAUGAAAUAUAUUGUUUUUAGAGAAUAAAUUUUGGUAAUUUUUAUUGUGAAUGUAGAAAUGACUUUCAGAUAAAAGGAGGAAAAUGAAAAUAAAAUCUCAUUCUAAUACUUUUGAUUUUAAAAGAAUAGGAUCAUAAACAUAUUUGCCAUGUUAUUCAUAGAGAAAUUAUCUAAUAAGGGAUUUCUUAUUUUAUUAAAGUAAGUGAUAAAUUGGAAGUUAAGGGAAAAAAAAAGCACGCUAAUGUAAUGAGUUUUGUCUUGUAAUGUAUUAAAAUUUAUAUUAUUUUUCUUUUAAUUUAGUGCUAACCACAUAUGAAGUAGGAAAUCCUCGUUAGAGGUGGACUCAUAAUAAAUUUUUGUUAAAUGUAUAUUCACCACAAUAAAAUACUCAUAUAUGAUGGUCAUUACAAUCGGAAAACUAAUCAUACGUGAUAUAAAUUUAUUAGAUAAAUAUUCUAAAAUUAUAUUGUUGUGAGCUUUUUCUUGCAAAAAAAUAAAUAAAUAAACUAGUACAAAAGAAUGUUGUGUCUUUGUUUUAGACCUUUAAAAGUUGUAGAAUGGGUUUAAUCAUUUAAAAGGAGUCAAUUUUUUAAUAAGGCUUGGAAAUAAGACAACCUUUUCAUUACAACUAAUCAACAAUCUUUAGUGACCUCUAAAUCUCGAAUAACUUAUCCACAAAAUCUCAAUCAAUUGCAUCAUAUUCUUUGCUUGUGUUUGACUUUAUGAAGAGUCCGAUAAGAAAUGCUUGCUUUUUUGCUUUCUUUUCCACAACACUACAAAAGUUUCCCAAGGUAGAGGAAUUUUAACAAACUUGGAAAGCCCAUGGUGGAAAGGCAUGAUGCAUUGACACCAAUGCCCACUAUUUUAACCACAAAGCCUAUGAGGAACUCAAAAUCCAUUUACAAUCGCAGCGGUAAAAUAUGUCUUGUCUAUAAGUUUACUAAUUCAAGCCCAACCCAAUAUUAUAUAUGAUUUUCAAUGCUUUUGAACAUAUUUAUUGUAGUUUAUUUGAUUAAAUUGAUGUAAAAUUUAUUUGAUUUGAAUAUCUCAAAAUAAUUUUUCUUAUAAAAAACAAAAUAGAUUUUUUUUUUCAAUUGUUAGAAACUCUUUUUUUUUUUAGUUAUUGUAGAAAAUUUUGCUGGUAGUAAAUAAAUUCUUUUUGAUCGAUAGAAUUAAUACAUAAUUUGUCUUAUACAAAUAAAUUUAAAUUUUUACUUACUCUUUUACUUGAAAAUAUUAAAGCACCUAUAUAUAGUAUAUCAUUUAAGGCCUUUGAAUUCCAAUCCUCCAAGGUAAAUUUUUAUCAUUCAUACCAUGAAAAUUCAGCUCAAUCUAUUGCCCAAUUUGGUUUUCCACCCUUUUGAAAUUAUUUAUUGCUCAAAAACAAUAUACCAAUAAAUUAACUUUCUAUUUGAAGAAUAUUAUAUAUCUUACCAAAAAGUAAAUGACAAAAUCCGAAAACUAAACAACAUUUUUUGCAUUGCUUUUGAACAUUUAAUAUUUAUUGAUCCAAAAUUUCACCGUAACAGCUAACAACUCUCCAAUCUUAAUCCAACUUCAGUCAAGCAAGAAAAAAUAUACAUAAAACAAUGGUCUUAUUUGACUAAUUGAUUGGAAUACCAUGGAUGUCCAUGUCAUGAAAAGAUAAAAAUCCCCAAAUUUGUCAAUGAUGUUUAAAAAAAAGAAAAAGAAUUAAGUGGGCACCUCAAAUUGCUAGGGAAAAAGGAUAAGAAUUAGCCCUUUUGUCUUUGUUGCUGUUUGGCAAAUAGGAUAUGGCACAUGUGCCCUACAACACAAUACAACAUUGCUUUUCAGAUAAAUAGAUAAUAGAUAAACUCUCUUGGAUUUUCUUAAUUUUUUUUUAACAAGUUGAUAAAAUAAUAAAAAUAAAAAAUAAAAAAUGAAAAAAAUAUAUAAAGAGGUAUACCAAGGCUUGACAGAUACAUAUUUUUAGGUCUCUCUCAUUCUCUUUCUUUCUCACUCUCUCUCCUCUGUCUUUCUCUCUCUUAGGUUUGUUUCUCUCUCCUCUCUCUUCUCUCUCCCAAUCUCAAAGGUUUCUCUCUCCUCUCUCUUCAGAAGGGCAAAACCCUAAAGAGCCGUUUACAACACCCCAAGUAAGUUUUCUCUCUCUCUCUUUCUUUAUCUUCCUCUCUUUCUCUCUCAUCCGCCCUCUUUCUAUAAUUUGAAUAUAUGGGUCCUUUUGUACUGUUAAAACUUCCAUUUUUAUACCUAUUUUUUUCUUUUAUUUGUUUGUGUUCUUAUUUACAUGCUUACAUAUUUGGAAUGCUAUUUUCUGACAUGAACAUGCUAAGAUCUAUGAUUUUGAGUCUCAGAUUCGGGGGAAAAAUGUCUAAUUUGUAGAAACUUUUCAAUUUUGGAGGCUAUAGAUUGCAGAUCUGCCGAUGGGUUUUCAUUGGGGUUCUGUUUGGUUACGGGGAAAAUGUGGGAAAAUAGGAAGUGGUUUGAAUCUGAAAGAUACCAUUUUUCUAACCGGAGUCUAUUUGUUUGCCAUUGUUGUUCAUUUGGGAUUAUUGAAGUUUCCAUUUUGUUGUGGAUCCAAGAAAAUGGAAAAUAUAUUGACAUUUUUGGAUCUCCAUUUUGGCUUUCUUAAGGAAGUGCAACUUUCAUGUGGGUCAAAGCUGUUUCCUUUGGCUGAUUUUUGUAGCUAUGGUUUUUUUAAAUGCUAAUGUUAUGUUGGAUCCGAGUUUGAUAAAUAUUUUCUUCUUGGAUUUCACUUCACAUUUUAGAACUUUAUUUGGUGUCUUGGCUUUCAAGCCUCUGUUUUCUUUUGCAUUUUAUUAAUAUGAGGCUGACAUCUUCAAUGCUAGAUCUGUUAAGAUUGUGAGAAAAUCUAAUUUCUUGCACCAUAUUGUUGCUGUAAAUUUGUAGCUUUUCAUGGAUGAUGAUGCGUUGAACAUGCGCAAUUGGGGUUACUAUGAACCGUCCUUUAAAGGGCAUCUCGGUCUGCAGCUAAUGUCGACAAUGCCUAUGGUAGACCGAGACACCAAGCCUUUUCUACCUGGUCGGGACCCUAAUAUUAUGAUUGGUGCCAAUGGUGCCUUUCAUCCUCGGGAUUGUGUGGUUUCCGAGGCAUCUAUUCCCAUGAACUACAUGAGGGAUAGUUGGAUCAGUCAGAGGGAUAAGUUUUUGAACAUGCUACCUUCGAAUCCUACUUUUGGGGUUCUUCCAGAAACUUCUGGAGCUCACUCCUUGCAAAUGCUACAGCCACCACCCAAUAUGUCAAGGGAUGACAGAUUGGCCCCUGAUAGAGUGGCACCUGACAGAAUCGUGCCUAAAGUCGAAGAACCAGUUGUCAAAACUGAAGGUGCUCCGGUAAAGAAAAGGCAAGGUGGGGGUGCCUCAAAAACGCCGAAAGCUAAGAAGCCUAAGAAGCCCAAGGAUAAUAAUGGCACUGCUGUGCAGCGUGUGAAACCGGCUAAGAAGAGUAUGGAUGU
rnacentral:lncRNA from 1 species